AAAAAAAAAAAAAAAAAAAAAAAAGUAUAGAGCAAACGCAAAAUAAGUAAUAAAAUAUAAAUUAAAUUAAAUUAGCCUAAUAGGUAUUUAAUUAUAGGUACAAUAGACACAUAUAUUAUAUAUAUACAUAUAUAUACUUGUAUCAAUGUGUUUAUAUGUAUGUAAUAACACAAAUUCAUAGAUCCAUAAAUAUGCUUGUACAAGUAUUUACGUAUAUAUAAUGGCAACUAUAGAACAUAGUUAUGUAAAACCUUAUAAAGAAACAAAUAGGGUAAAAAUCAAUAGUGUAGCUAUAACCAAUGAUGGAAUAAAUGAAAAAGUGAUUUCAUAUUUUCAAAGCUCGAAAACUAAAAAUAGUAUUUGUUUCUACGUAAAUAAUAAAAGGAAUAAAAAAAGAGUAUCCAUAUUCGUAAAAAGAAAUAAAAAUAUUAAACACAAUAUUUUUAAACGAUGUAAUAACCGAUUAAAAUCUGUUAAGAUUUAUAAAAUAAAUAAUAGCAAUAAAUAUAAAAAAAUAAAUGGUUAUGUAAAUAAUGUUAAUAAUAAAAUUUUAAGCGUAAAUAAGAACUUAAAACAAAAAUCACAUUUGGAAACACAUCUUUUGUACAUUAAUAAUGAUAAAUAUUAUGUAUUUCACGACUUUUAUAAGUUAAAUAAAAAGUUAAACGAUUUUAAAAGUAAAAAAAUAAGUGAAUCGUUGAAUAAAAAUAAUAAUAAUAAAAAUAUACUGAAUAUAUUAAAACAAUUACGAAAAAAAAAAAAAAAAAAAUUAUUGAGCUUAAAACGAUUAAUAUAUGAUAAAAAAACUUUAUUAAUAUCUCGUUUUUUUAAAUUGAAUAAGCAUCAUAUGGAUAAUCAUUGCAUAUAUAAUGUAAAAAAUAAAAAAAAAAUAAAAAAAAAAAAAUUAUUAUUUCAUUGUGAAGAUAAAAAUAAAACAGUUUAUGAUACAUUAAAACUGGGGUAUGAGCAAAUAAAUGACAGUUGUAUUAUAGAAAUUUAUAAUAAUUACAUAGAUAGUAGUAAUAGUAUCCUGUUUAACGAUAGCUAUAUUGACAUUAAUCAAAAAAACUCAGUGAACUCGAUAAAACAUAAGUUAAAUAUUAUAAGUUUGAGAGAAGAGAAAAAAAAAAACUUGAUUAGUGAAAAUGUAAGAUGCUUAAAUAUUCCAAUACAAAAAGAAGUGUCAAAUAAAUUUAAAGAAUUGCUAAUAGAACAUUUCAAACACUAUAAAAUAAAAAAAAAAAAAAAAAAUGAUCGAUGUGGUGAUUUAUUUUAUUAUCACAAUCCAAUAUUUAUAUUAUUUCAAAGUAACAUUUUUUUUACAAAUAUAAAAAAAUGUUUUUUUUUUGAAAAUAGUAAAAGUAAGAUAUUUAUUAAAAGAUUUAAAAAAAAAGUUUUUAAAAAUUAUUUAAAUAAACAACAGUUUAUAAGAAAACAUAUAAAAAAUUGUGAUAAAAACAAAGAAAAGGAAAAAAAAAAAAAAUAUAUAUAUAUUGAAAAUAACGAAUAUUGCCAAUAUAGCAAAUAUAAAAGUGCAAUAAAUUUAUUAAAAAAUUUUGAAUUCUUAAUAUGUAAAAAUCCAGAGCACUUAUCAGAGUUUUUUUUAAAUUUUAAUUGUAGUCAUGUAAAUAAAUAUAAUAAAAAAAAAAUUAAUUUUUAUUAUAUUAUUUUAUUUAAAAAGUUAUAUUAUUUUAUUACUACAUAUUUUUGCUAUAAUGAAAAGAAUAUUACAGGAACAACAGCAAAAAUGAUAUGCACAAAUAAUAACUGUUUUAGUAAUUUUUAUUUAUCUUUUCAAGAAGGUAGUUUGGUUAACCCAAACUAUAUUAUAAAUAAUAAAGUAGACGAUAAUAGUUACAUUGAGCUACUUAAAAAAAAAAAUGGUACAAUUUUUGAGCAUAAUAAUACAGAAAAAAACUUAAAAAAUAUUAUUAAAUAUAUUAUAAUCAAUAUAAUAAUAAAUCGUAUAAUAAAUAAUAAUAAUAAAAUAGUACAAGAUGAUAUAUAUAGUACUAAGAGUGAAAAUGAUGAUUACAAUGCUGCAUGUAAUGUAGUAAAGAAUAUUGACGUUGUUCCGAAACAAAUAUGUUCUGUUAGUGCUAACGACGUAAUAAGUAAUAAUAAUUACAAUGUUCAUAAUAGUAGUUAUAAUGAUAAAGUAAUAAGAAGUUAUGAUAGUAUUAUAAACGUUUUUUGUAGUAGUUAUAGUUGUAUUAACAAUUCUACUGGAUAUAGUUGCAGUAAUGGUGUUAGUGAUAGUAAUGGUACUAAUGGUAGUUACGAUACUAAUGAUAGUUACGAUACUAAUGGUAGUUACGAUACUAAUGGCAAUAGUGAUAAUAAUAAUAAUAAUAAUGAUAAUUAUAGUAAUAGUAAUAGUGGUAGUAAUAGUGGUAAUGAUAACAACAAUAACAGUAACAAUAACAACAAUAACGAUAACAAUAAUAACAACAAUAAUAAUAACAACAAUAAUAAUAAUAACGAUAAUAACGAUAAUAAUAAAGACAAUAAUAACGAUAAUAACAACAAUAAUAAUAAGGAUAAUAAUAAGGAUAAUAAUAAGGAUAAUAAUAAGGAUAAUAAUAAGGAUAAUAAUAAGGAGAAUAACAAGGAUGAUAAUAAGGAAGAUAAUAAGGAGGAUAAUAAGGAGGAGGAUAACAGUGAGACAAAAACAAAAGAGAAUUACGUAUAUACCCAAAAAGAUAACGAAAAUAUGAUUAACCAUGAAAAGGAACAUGAAAUUUAUUAUAAAUUAAUAAAAGACAUAGAAUGUAUUGAAAAAAAUGAAAAUAUGAAUAAUGAUUUUUUAAACAAUAAGAAAACUGAAGUUACUAUUGAUAUUUUGUCAGAAAAUGUUAACAAAAUGCCAUCCUUAGAUUUAGAAAAAAAAAAUCACUUCUCUUUUGAUAAUUUAUUAGUACAAAAAGAUAAUGAUAUGAUUACAAUACAAAAAGAAGAAUAUGUUGAAAACAUUGAUUAUAUUCAAAAUACCAACUAUAGUAAUAAUAAUAAUAUUGAAAAUGCUAUUAAUACGUCUGAUCUUAGCCAAGAAACAAUGAAUGCAGGCGCAGCAUUAUCAAGUUGUGUACAACCUUUAAACUUACCACUUCUACCAGAAAUGAGCCAUCCUAAUACAUUUAUUUCGCAUUCACCACGUUCCAAUAAUGCAGUUGAUUUAUGUAAUAACAUUAGCAAUACUAGUACUACCACUGGUAGUGGUAGUAACAAUAGUGAUAGUACAUAUAAAAGUGCUAAUAAUCAAAUAAACGAUCCAGAUUUUGAAGAAGCAUGUGGCAUUAGACUUAUGAACACACCAGAAAAUUUGAUAUUUCCUCAAUCUCCUCCAACUAGCUCAUUACAUGCAUCUACUUUACAUUUGACAGAUGUAAAUGAAUUGGUCUUAUCUCCGAAUCAACAAAUGUAUUCUAACAGUCCUAUGAAAUCACCAAGUAUGACUACACCGCUUUCUACACCAGCAUCACCUGUUUUUGAUUCCAAUUACAACGAAGAACACUUGGAAAAAGUUAGUUCGAAUUAUUUAAUUUCUUCGCCAUAUAGGAAUGAUAUAUUUUCUGAAUUUGAUAUGCUUGGCUCCUUUUUUGAAUCAUUGGAUGAAUUAGAAAAUAAAAGUGAUGAUAGUGAUAGUAGUAGUAAUAAUGAAAAUGAAAAGAUUAGUCCCAAUUUUUCGUUAGAUGCACGUGCUGGCAGUAGUGGUAGUAGUAGUAACAAUAACAAAAAUAAAAAAAAAAACAAAAAAAAAUUAAAUAAAAAUGUGCAAAGAGAUGAAAUUAUAUAUAAUUUUAAAAAAGAAAAUUGUAAAAAAGUAUUCCAUGCAUGGAGUAAUAAAGGAAAACAUGAACUAAAUUAUGAUAAUAAAAAAUUCUCAUCAGUUAUGGAAUGGAUAAAAUAUAUUGAAAAUAUAAUGGCAACUGAAGAAAUUAUAAAUAACACCAAAGAAAAAGGGGAUGAUGAUACAUCGAGACAAUUUUGUAUGGGAGGCCAAAAUGAACAACAUCAUUUUUAUAAUAGUGACAAUAUAUAUAAUAUGGAUAACGCUUUGUUUAAUGAAGGACAAUAUAUGACAAAUGAGUUGGAGGACAAUGAAAAAAAUGAUAUGGUAUUGAACGCGGAACAACAUAGUAGUAAUAAUAGUGAUCAUUGUCAACAGGAUGAUGGUCAUAACACUUGUAAUAAUUUAAAGAUAACAGAAAAUAUACAAUAUGUUGUUAAUGA
ensembl:lncRNA